AGAGUUUGAUCCUGGCUCAGAUUGAACGCUGGCGGCAGGCCUAACACAUGCAAGUCGAGCGGUAGCACAGAGAGCUUGCUCUCGGGUGACGAGCGGCGGACGGGUGAGUAAUGUCUGGGAAACUGCCUGAUGGAGGGGGAUAACUACUGGAAACGGUAGCUAAUACCGCAUAACGCCGCAAGACCAAAGUGGGGGACCUUCGGGCCUCAUGCCAUCAGAUGUGCCCAGAUGGGAUUAGCUAGUAGGUGGGGUAAUGGCUCACCUAGGCGACGAUCCCUAGCUGGUCUGAGAGGAUGACCAGCCACACUGGAACUGAGACACGGUCCAAACUCCUACGGGAGGCAGCAGUGGGGAAUAUUGCACAAUGGGGGAAACCCUGAUGCAGCGACGCCGCGUGAGCGAUGAAGUAUUUCGGUAUGUAAAGCUCUAUCAGCAGGGAAGAAAAUGACGGUACCUGACUAAGAAGCCCCGGCUAACUACGUGCCAGCAGCCGC
rnacentral:rRNA from 1 species